rnacentral:rRNA from 1 species
UACAGAGGGUGCAAGCGUUAAUCGGAAUUACUGGGCGUAAAGCGUGCGUAGACGGUCAUGUAAGUCGGGUGUGAAAGCCCCGGGCUCAACCUGGGAAUUGCAUUCGAGACUGCAUGGCUAGGAUGCGGAAGAGGGAAGCGGAAUUUCCGGUGUAGCGGUGAAAUGCGUAGAUAUCGGAAGGAACACCAGUGGCGAAAGCGGCUUCCUGGCCUGUUCUUGACGCUGAGGCGGCGAAAAGCUAGGGGAGCAAACGGGG